AUGUCGCCGUCGUGUUCCCAGCGAAAAAUCUUAGAAAACAAAGAACUCAAUGGUCGGUUGAAGCAAAAAGAUUUACCGGUUCCAUCCAGAAUUUACCAUGGUUACAGCAAUAAAGACAUAGCAGCAAACCCAAACAAAUCGGAUGUAGCAAAUGAACUAGCCGGUUCCAGUAAAAAACUUUACUGGUUCCAGCAAAAAAAAAAAAAUUGCCGGCGAGGGUGUGUUUUGGGUCCAGCGAAAGUGCAUGUAGCCUUGCUAAUUGGAGCAAACAUCGACGCCUGUUCCAGCAAAAGUGCUGGCCAGUGGCUUGCAGCAAACUCACGCCGUGGCAUCUCUGUCGCGCCGCCGUCAGUGGUUUGCCGCCAAAAAGCUGAAACGCCUCGCCGCGUCGGGUCGCCGCCGUUCGCGGAUGGCGGUGGUGUAGCCGCGCGGCAGCCAGCGCAUGUGGGGCAAGAGUAG
rnacentral:rRNA from 1 species